AAUGAACGCUGGCGGCAGGCCUAACACAUGCAAGUCGAACGGAUCCUUCGGGAUUAGUGGCGGACGGGUGAGUAACGCGUGGGAACAUACCCCUUGGUACGGAAUAGCCUCGGGAAACUGGGAGUAAUACCGUAUGUGGUCGAGAGACGAAAGAUUUAUCGCCAAAGGAUUGGCCCGCGUUGGAUUAGGUAGUUGGUGGGGUAAUGGCCUACCAAGCCGACGAUCCAUAGCUGGUUUGAGAGGAUGAUCAGCCACACUGGGACUGAGACACGGCCCAGACUCCUACGGGAGGCAGCAGUGGGGAAUCUUAGACAAUGGGGGAAACCCUGAUCUAGCCAUGCCGCGUGAUCGAUGAAGGCCUUAGGGUUGUAAAGAUCUUUCAGGUGGGAAGAUGAUGACUGUACCACCAGAAGAAGCCCCGGCUAACUCCGUGCCAGCAGCCGCAGUAA
rnacentral:rRNA from 1 species